rnacentral:rRNA from 1 species
GACGAACGCUGGCGGCGUGCCUAAUACAUGCAAGUAGAACGCUGAAGGAGGAGCUUGCUUCUCCGGAUGAGUUGCGAACGGGUGAGUAACGCGUAGGUAACCUGCCUGGUAGCGGGGGAUAACUAUUGGAAACGAUAGCUAAUACCGCAUAAGAGUAGAUGUUGCAUGACAUUUGCUUAAAAGGUGCAAUUGCAUCACUACCAGAUGGACCUGCGUUGUAUUAGCUAGUUGGUGGGGUAACGGCUUACCAAGGCGACGAUACAUAGCCGACCUGAGAGGGUGAUCGGCCACACUGGGACUGAGACACGGCCCAGACUCCUACGGGAGGCAGCAGUAGGGAAUCUUCGGCAAUAGACGGAAGUCUGACCGAGCAACGCCGCGUGAGUGAAGAAGGUUUUCGGAUCGGAAAGCUCUGUUGUAAGAGAAGAACGAGUGUGAGAGUGGAAAGUUCACACUGUGACGGUAUCUUACCAGAAAGGGACGGCUAACUACGUG